rnacentral:tRNA from 1 species
CAAAACGUAGCUCAACCAGAGCACCUCGCUUACACCGAGGGGGUGUCUGUGAAACCCAGACCAUUUUGA